GAUCCUGGCUCAGAUUGAACGCUGGCGGCAGGCUUAACACAUGCAAGUCGAGCGGGGAGAUGUAGCUUGCUACAUUUCCUAGCGGCGGACGGGUGAGUAAUGCUUAGGAAUCUGCCUAUUAGUGGGGGGACAACGGUUUCGAAAAGGAACUCUAAUACCGCAUACGCCCUACGGGGAAAGCAGGGGAUCUUCGGACCUUGCGCUAAUAGAUGAGCCUAAGCCAGAUUAGCUAGUUGGUGGGGUAAAGGCCUACCG
rnacentral:rRNA from 1 species